rnacentral:rRNA from 1 species
UAAGCGACUAAGCGUACACGGUGGAUGCCCUGGCAGUCAGAGGCGAUGAAGGACGUGCUAAUCUGCGAUAAGCGUCGGUAAGGUGAUAUGAACCGUUAUAACCGGCGAUUUCCGAAUGGGGAAACCCAGUGUGUUUCGUCACACUAUCAUUAACUGAAUCCAUAGGUUAAUGAGGCGAACCGGGGGAACUGAAACAUCUAAGUACCCCGAGGAAAAGAAUCAACCGAGAUUCCCCCAGUAGCGGCGAGCGAACGGGGAGCAGCCCAGAGCCUGAAUCAGUAUGUGUGUUAGUGGAAAGCGUCUGGAAAGGCGACGCGAUACAGGGUGACAGCCCGUACACAAAAUGCACAUGCUGUGAGCUCGAUGAGUAGGCGGGACACGUGGUAUCCUGUCUGAAUAUGGGGGGACCAUCCUCCAAGGCUAAAUACUCCUGACUGACCGAUAGUGAACCAGUACCGUGAGGGAAAAGGCGAAAAGAACCCCGGCGAGGGGAGUGAAAAAGAACCUGAAACCGUGUACGUACAAGCAGUGGGAGCACGCUUAGGCGUGUGACUGCGUACCUUUUGUAUAAUGGGUCAGCGACUUAUAUUCUGUAGCAAGGUUAACCGAAUAGGGGAGCCGAAGGGAAACCGAGUCUUAACUGGGCGUUAAGUUGCAGGGUAUAGACCCGAAACCCGGUGAUCUAGCCAUGGGCAGGUUGAAGGUUGGGUAACACUAACUGGAGGACCGAACCGACUAAUGUUGAAAAAUUAGCGGAUGACUUGUGGCUGGGGGUGAAAGGCCAAUCAAACCGGGAGAUAGCUGGUUCUCCCCGAAAGCUAUUUAGGUAGCGCCUCGUGAAUUCAUCUCCGGGGGUAGAGCACUGUUUCGGCAAGGGGGUCAUCCCGACUUACCAACCCGAUGCAAACUGCGAAUACCGGAGAAUGUUAUCACGGGAGACACACGGCGGGUGCUAACGUCCGUCGUGAAGAGGGAAACAACCCAGACCGCCAGCUAAGGUCCCAAAGUCAUGGUUAAGUGGGAAACGAUGUGGGAAGGCCCAGACAGCCAGGAUGUUGGCUUAGAAGCAGCCAUCAUUUAAAGAAAGCGUAAUAGCUCACUGGUCGAGUCGGCCUGCGCGGAAGAUGUAACGGGGCUAAACCAUGCACCGAAGCUGCGGCAGCGACGCUUAUGCGUUGUUGGGUAGGGGAGCGUUCUGUAAGCCUGUGAAGGUGUGCUGUGAGGCAUGCUGGAGGUAUCAGAAGUGCGAAUGCUGACAUAAGUAACGAUAAAGCGGGUGAAAAGCCCGCUCGCCGGAAGACCAAGGGUUCCUGUCCAACGUUAAUCGGGGCAGGGUGAGUCGACCCCUAAGGCGAGGCCGAAAGGCGUAGUCGAUGGGAAACAGGUUAAUAUUCCUGUACUUGGUGUUACUGCGAAGGGGGACGGAGAAGGCUAUGUUGGCCGGGCGACGGUUGUCCCGGUUUAAGCGUGUAGGCUGGUUUUCCAGGCAAAUCCGGAAAAUCAAGGCUGAGGCGUGAUGACGAGGCACUACGGUGCUGAAGCAACAAAUGCCCUGCUUCCAGGAAAAGCCUCUAAGCAUCAGGUAACAUCAAAUCGUACCCCAAACCGACACAGGUGGUCAGGUAGAGAAUACCAAGGCGCUUGAGAGAACUCGGGUGAAGGAACUAGGCAAAAUGGUGCCGUAACUUCGGGAGAAGGCACGCUGAUAUGUAGGUGAAGUCCCUCGCGGAUGGAGCUGAAAUCAGUCGAAGAUACCAGCUGGCUGCAACUGUUUAUUAAAAACACAGCACUGUGCAAACACGAAAGUGGACGUAUACGGUGUGACGCCUGCCCGGUGCCGGAAGGUUAAUUGAUGGGGUCAGCGCAAGCGAAGCUCUUGAUCGAAGCCCCGGUAAACGGCGGCCGUAACUAUAACGGUCCUAAGGUAGCGAAAUUCCUUGUCGGGUAAGUUCCGACCUGCACGAAUGGCGUAAUGAUGGCCAGGCUGUCUCCACCCGAGACUCAGUGAAAUUGAACUCGCUGUGAAGAUGCAGUGUACCCGCGGCAAGACGGAAAGACCCCGUGAACCUUUACUAUAGCUUGACACUGAACAUUGAGCCUUGAUGUGUAGGAUAGGUGGGAGGCUUUGAAGUGUGGACGCCAGUCUGCAUGGAGCCGACCUUGAAAUACCACCUUUAAUGUUGAUGUUCUAACGUUGACCCGUAAUCCGGGUUGCGGACAGUGUCUGGUGGGUAGUUUGACUGGGGCGGUCUCCUCCUAAAGAGUAACGGAGGAGCACGAAGGUUGGCUAAUCCUGGUCGGACAUCAGGAGGUUAGUGCAAUGGCAUAAGCCAGCUUGACUGCGAGCGUGACGGCGCGAGCAGGUGCGAAAGCAGGUCAUAGUGAUCCGGUGGUUCUGAAUGGAAGGGCCAUCGCUCAACGGAUAAAAGGUACUCCGGGGAUAACAGGCUGAUACCGCCCAAGAGUUCAUAUCGACGGCGGUGUUUGGCACCUCGAUGUCGGCUCAUCACAUCCUGGGGCUGAAGUAGGUCCCAAGGGUAUGGCUGUUCGCCAUUUAAAGUGGUACGCGAGCUGGGUUUAGAACGUCGUGAGACAGUUCGGUCCCUAUCUGCCGUGGGCGCUGGAGAACUGAGGGGGGCUGCUCCUAGUACGAGAGGACCGGAGUGGACGCAUCACUGGUGUUCGGGUUGUCAUGCCAAUGGCACUGCCCGGUAGCUAAAUGCGGAAGAGAUAAGUGCUGAAAGCAUCUAAGCACGAAACUUGCCCCGAGAUGAGUUCUCCCUGACUCCUUGAGAGUCCUGAAGGAACGUUGAAGACGACGACGUUGAUAGGCCGGGUGUGUAAGCGCAGCGAUGCGUUGAGCUAACCGGUACUAAUGAACCGUGAGGCUUAACCU